CAAACCUUUGCUACCAUCUACCAUAGAUCCAAAACAUUCAUCCACAGCCCUAAAACUCCACCAAAUCACACCCUCAAACUGCACCCAAAAUAGCCACAAAACAAUCCUAAACCGUAGCCUACAUCCACCAAUCCACCAACCCUUUCGACCAUCACCUCUCUCAACCAAUACAUGCCUUUAACCCGACAACAAAAGAGAGAUCUUAACA
rnacentral:lncRNA from 1 species